CCCUUAGAUGUUCUGGGCCGCACGCGCGCUACACUGAUGCAUUCAACGAGUUUCUUCCUGGUCCGAGAGGAAUGGGUAACCUUUUGAAAGUGCAUCGUGAUAGGGAUAGACUAUUGCAAUUAUUGGUCUUCAACGAGGAAUUCCUAGUAGACGUAGUUCAUCAGACUGCAUCGAUUGCGUUCCUGCCCUUUGUACACACCGCCCGUCGCUCCUACCGAUUGAAUGCUCAGGUGAGCCAUUCGGACUUUCAUCAUGCUGGUUUCCAGUUUUGAUGAAGGAAAGUCUUGCGAACCUUAUCAUUUAGAGGAAGGAGAAGUCGUAACA
rnacentral:rRNA from 1 species